rnacentral:rRNA from 1 species
CCUACGGGAGGCAGCAGUGAGGAAUAUUGGUCAAUGGACGAGAGGCUGAACCAGCCAAGUAGCGUGAAGGAUGACUGCCCUAUGGGUUGUAAACUUCUUUUAUAUGGGAAUAAAAUGGUCCACGUGUGGGAUUUUGCAUGUACCAUAUGAAUAAGGAUCGGCUAACUCCGUGCCAGCAGCCGCGGUAAUACGGAGGAUCCGAGCGUUAUCCGGAUUUAUUGGGUUUAAAGGGAGCGUAGGUGGCUUGUUAAGUCAGUGGUGAAAGUUUGCGGCUCAACCGUAAAAUUGCAGUUGAAACUGGCAGUCUUGAGUACAGUAGAGGCGGGCGGAAUGCGUGGUGUAGCGGUGAAAUGCUUAGAUAUCACGAAGAACCCCGAUUGCGAAGGCAGCUCACUGGACUGCAACUGACACUGAGGCUCGAAAGCGUGGGUAUCAAACAGGAUUAGAUACCCUAGUAGUC